CCUUUACAAAACUAUGUAGUCCAAUUGGAACUACUAACCAGUUACACCCAACAAAACCCUAACACUACCUAUUCUUUGUAAAUCGAUUCUGGAAAUUUAACGACAUACACAUCUAUACACCAUUCUUUUUCUAUCUCGAACUGUCGUUCUACCAAUCUCCUUCUCUAACCUAUUCUCUAUAUCUUUCGAUGUAUACGAUUCACAAAUCUAGACUAAUUACAUCAAAGAAAAGUGUUAUCUUGUGUUCAGCGUUUUCAAUUCUACUAAACACCACUCAACAGAUGGAUUGGAACAAACGUUCUUAUGUUAAAUCUAAAAGAAAAUCAGCAACCACGACUACCACAUCUAUAAGGUGUACAGGAAAGUGUUGCAUUUACACUCUCUCAAUACACUGACAAAAAAAGAAGAGACAUAGGGAACCAAAUUGGUGCAGAUAUAGUAGACAAAUGGAAAGCAAAGAAGAUGAGUAUUGCAAACCAAAAAAUGACAACAUAGCUCCGCACACAAUGCAAUCUAAUGGCCUUAGAAGUCUGCUGCGGGUGAAGCUGGGCACCAACUAUGAACUGCCCAGUCAUGUUGGUUUUUGAAAGCUGAAAGUUGUAAUAUUUUGCUUCGUUUUGUGGUAGCACAGAUGAAAGAAAGUUGUAAUAUUUUGCUUUGCUUUGCUUUGAGGCCUGAAUGUGUAGCUAUAUAUAACCAGCAAACUUAGAGUCGGACAAUUGCAAAAAUAUUAAAAUAUUACCUAUG